GUGAAAUAGCAUGCACUAUAGUACCCAGCCAGAGCAUACUGGCGUUGUCUGUCCCCAGAGCCAGAGAGCUGAAUCAUUUAGGUUCUGCCAAGAACUGCAUGACAACAUUUUAGUCAACAAUGGACUGUACAUAGAAAGGUCUGCUGCUGUAAUGCAUGUUCCCUCUGCACUGAUUUUGUGGAUAGGAUGUAGGGACCAGACGCUGGAGGCACUGCCUCAAUACCUGCCUGCCUGAGUUAGGAAUCAUCCUUAGCACCCACCAAGGACUUCCUAAGUGCUGGACCCUGUGCUAAGCCUGUUUCCUGCAUGAUCAUUAAUCCUUAAAAUCUAUGAAGAAAAUCCCAAUAUCUACCCAUUUUACAGAUGAGGAAAGCCAGUUUGGAUGGGUUCAUCAGCUUGCACAGAGGCAGAAGGUAUGGCGUCUGCUGGGAUGACAUCUGUACUGUUUCGGAUGCUUGGAGCCCCCGCAUGUUGUGAUAAUGUGGUGAUUACUCAGCUAACGUAGAUCAAAGAGGAAUUUAAAGUCUUUCAUAUCACAGACUCUUUGUGGUCUUUAGACGAUCA
rnacentral:lncRNA from 1 species